GACGAACGCUGGCGGCGUGCUUAACACAUGCAAGUCGAACGACGUGGCGAACGGGUGUGUAAUACUUGGUUAACCUGCCCUCCUUUUUGGGAUAAGCCUUGGAAACGGGGUCUAAUACCGAAUAACGGGGGCGGGGCUCGCGGCCUAUCGGCUUGUUGGUGGGGUGAUGGCCUACCAAGGCGGUGACUGGGAGCCGGCCUGAGAGGGUGACCUGACACAUUGGGACGGAGAUACGGCCCAGACGCCUACGGGAGGCAGCAGUGGGGGAUAUGGCACAAUGGGCGAAAGCCUGAUGCAGCGACGCCGCGGGGGGGAUGAAGGCUUUCGGGUUGUAAACCUCGUGCGCUAGCGAACGGGUAGGAGGAGAAGAAGCGCCGGCUAACUACGUGCCAGCAGCCGCGGUAAUUC
rnacentral:rRNA from 1 species